AGAAUAGCUGAAUUUGUGCACUCCCUCAAAUUGUUUGGAGAAAAUAUUUAUAUUAUAUUCAGCUUUGUUCAAUUGUAUUCUUCAUACUAUAAAAUUUUGCCACGGAAUUCUAAGCAAAAUCUUGUCUGCUAAUGGAGGGUAGCCCACAGCCAGAUCAGGACCGCACAUAAAGACAACUCCGAGUAUGGUAUUAUGUUCUUCUGAAAUAGAAUACAUUUUUCUUCAUAUCAUGUUCGUUACACCCGUCUAAAAUGAAUGAUGGAUUUAUUGUGAAGGUGUAGGCUAUAUUACAUGGAUUUAUUGUGAAGGUGUAGGCUAUAUUACAUGGAUUUAUUGUGAAGGUGUAGGCUAUAUUACAUGGAUUUAUUGUGAAGGUGUAGGCUAUAUUACAUGGAUUUAUUGUGAAGGUGUAGGCUAUAUUACAUGGAUUUAUUGUGAUGGUGUAGACUAUAUUACAUGGAUUUAUUGUGAUGGUGUAGGCUAUAUUACAUGGAUUUAUUGUGAUGGUGUAGGCUAUAUUACAUGGAUUUAUUGUGAUGGUGUAGACUAUAUUACAUGGAUUUAUUGUGAAGGUGUAGACUAUAUUACAUGGAUUUAUUGUGAAGGUGUAGACUAUUACAUGGAUUCAUUGUGAAGGUGUAGACUAUAUUACAUGGAUUUAUUGUGAAGGUGUAGACUAUAUUACAUGGAUUUAUUGUGAUGGUGUAGACUAUAUUACAUGGAUUUAUUGUGAUGGUGUAGACUAUAUUACAUGGAUUUAUUGUGAAGGUGUAGACUAUUACAUGGAUUCAUUGUGAAGGUGUAGACUAUAUUACAUGGAUUUAUUGUGAAGGUGUAGACUAUAUUACAUGGAUUUAUUGUGAAGGUGUAGACUAUAUUACAUGGAUUCAUUGUGAAGGUGUAGUAGACUAUAUUACAUGUAUUGAUUGUGACGGUGUAGACUAUAUUACAUGGAUUUAUUGUGAAGGUGUAGACUAUAUUACAUGGAUUUAUUGUGAUGGUGUAGACUAUAUUACAUGGAUUUA